AUACGGAGGUGGCUAGCGUUGUUCGGAAUUACUGGGCGUAAAGCGUACGUAGGCGGACUGAUCAGUUGGGGGUGAAAUCCCAGGGCUUAACCCUGGAACUGCCUUCAAUACUGUCAGUCUUGAGAUUGGAAGAGGUGAGUGGAAUUCCUAGUGUAGAGGUGAAAUUCAUAGAUAUUAGGAGGAACACCAGUGGCGAAGGCGGCUCACUGGUCCAAUACUGACGCUGAGGUACGAAAGCGUGGGGAGCAAACAGGAUUAGAUACCCUAGUAGUCC
rnacentral:rRNA from 1 species